CUUCAUGUCACUAGGGCUCUUUACCUUAUGGUAUUUGUAGGCUUACUAUCGCUAUGGUCAUUUCUAGGUGUUUCUCAGCCUCCUACAUGCCUACCUCUUUAGUAAUACUACCACCUGCCCACUUUCACUGUAUUUAGCAAUCAGUUCCAUUAUAGCAGGUGUAUAUUCCAACCCUAUCCAGUUAAGUCCCUUUUGUGGCUUUAUUUGACGAUUUCCG